rnacentral:sRNA from 1 species
AAAAGUUUUUUAAAAGCUUUGGUAGUUGCUAAAAAGCAUUGUAAAUCAUUUUAAAACCUCUUAAAAUCUUUAUAAAGUCUUUAAAAACAUAGGUAAAUACUUUAAAACCCCUUUUUUAACCUUUGUAAAUCAUUUUAAAGCUUUUUACAAUAGUUUUACAAUCGUUUUUUAAGCAUAAGUAAGUAGCAUUGAAUGAUUUACAAGAGAUUUUAAAAGCUUAUAAAAGGGUAAAACAUGAUUUACAAGGGAUUUAAAAAAGGUUAUCAUGGUUUACAAUCGUUUUUUAAGCAUAAGUAAGUGGCAUUGAAUGAUUUACAAAGAAUUUUAAAAGCUUAUAAAAGGGUAAAACAUGAUUUACAAUCUUUUUUAAAGCAUAAGUAAGUGGCAUAGAAUGAUUUACAAGGAUUUUUAAAAAAAGUUAGCAUGGUUUACAAUGUUUUUUAAAGCAUAAGUAAGUGACAUUGGAAUGAUUUACAAGGGAUUUUAAAAGCUUAUAAAAGGGUAAAACAUAAUUUAUAAUCGUUUUUAAAGCAUAAGUAAGUGGCAUAAAAUGAUUUACAAGGGAUUUUAAAAGUGUUUGUAUGGUUUACAAUCGUUUUAAAGCAUAAGUAGGUGACAUUGAAUGAUUUACCAGGGAUUUUAAAAGGGGUUAAAAUGAUUUACAUUCGUUUUUAAAGCAUAAGUAAAUGUCAAAAAAUGAUUUCCAAGGAAUUUUAAAUCUUUGUAAAUCCUUUUAAAACUCUUAAAAGUCUUUACAAACAUUUUUUAACUCUUAGAAAAAGAAUUGUAAGUAUUUAAAACAUUUAUAACUCUUUUUGAACCAUUUUAAAACUCUCAAAAGGUUUUAAAAAGAUUUACAAGAGUUUUGAAAGGAUUUUUUUAUAAAUUUUUUUAAAAUCUUUUAAAAACUCUUGUACAUCUUUUAAAACCCUUUAAAAAUCCCUUGUAAAUAUUUUAAACACUUUUAAACCCUUUAAAAAUCUUUAAAAAACUCUUGUAAGUCUUUUAAAGCCCUUUAAAAUCCCUUGUAAAUCUUUUAAAACCCUUUUAAAAUCUCUUGUAAAUCUUUUAAACCCUUUUAAAAUCUCUUGUAAAUCUUUAAAAUAUUUUAAAACUCUUUUAAAAUCCCUUAUAAAUUUAUUUCCCGCCAAACAAAAAAAAUUACGGGAAAAAU